CUGAACUUGGAUCACCGCCCUGAGUAAGGUAAGGGAUACAUGGUGCUAAAGAAGCGUCCACUUGACCACAGGUAAGAGCUUGUCCUGGCUCAAACAUGAGCUGAAUCAUGGCCAACACUGCAAUGGCAAUGAUGAUUCCCUUCAUCUUUUCUUCAGUUUUUGUGUAAGAAAAAAGAUAGUUUUAAGGUGGAAAGUGAGGCAGGUGUUUUUCUCUGGAUUCUUGAUUAGCCGUGUUGAUGACUAGCCAGUGUCUUAGGAGGGUAUAUAUAGGAAUAUGAAAAGUGCUAAGAAAAGUAAGUUGUUCUUUGCUGUGGUAAUAUCAGUUAUCUCUUUUCGGAUUUUUGUUUCCUUGUUAUGUCAUUUCCUGAUUUGUUUCAGAAGAAAGGAACAAAUAGUCUUACAUGUUAUGAUAGUUCUUUGCAGGUAUUGAUGAUGCUCACCUUUCUCUACUAGUGGUGCUUAGGGAUAAAAGAACUCAACAAACCUUAUCUCUUUUGCAUCAGAAAACCACUUUCUUUCUUUUGCAGCCUUAAUUGGCCAUCUGCGAAAUACAUAUCUCUGUUUUGUGUGCCAGUAUGACAAAAAGGUAAACCAUGCAUGCUGUUUAGUAUAACUUACAAAUUGAUGUAUCGAUUUAUUCCCUAUAUUAUUUACUGAUUGCAUCAAGUAGCUAUUUUGAUCAUCAUUUCCUUGUAAGCUUUUGGAUUAGAUGAACUCAAACUCAUUUUUAUGCAUUUGAGUCUUAAUUUAGUUAGCUUGGAUCAGACUUCAAAGCGAACCAACGUAUUCGUGGAAUAUAUCCUCGAGCUUCAUUAAUUUGUGCAUCACUUUGCUGGUUUUCUUAGCAUAUCAUUUGUAAAGGAACAAGAAAGCCCCCAAAAUGAUUUGUACAAGAAUAUAAAUGUUUUUUUCCCUAGCAGAUGAUCACACUUCGAUGCAUGAGUAGAACAUUUAGCAGAGAACAUUGGAGCAGAAUUUAAGAUAAUGAACAUUCGAGCAGAAUUAAGACAUCUAAUGAUAAAAACGACUAAAUGAUUAUUUGAUCAGCGAUUGUUCUGAUUCAAGGGGUCAGCAUGGGAACUAUUACCCCCUCGCUACACGCCGGUUGAAUCAAAAGAAUAUUACUCCCUAAACAAAAUGACAAAGAAUGAGAAAAAUUAGUCCCUUUCAAACAAAUUCUCCCAUACAACUUACAACCAUUUAGCUAUUCAACUUGGAAAUUAUGGAAGUGAUGAGAACUGAUGCAAGAGAGAUGGUGUUUCAGUGCCACUGACAAAAUGAACAUGGAUAAUUGUCAUCCCUCUUUGUGAAUGAUAAUGUUUCUUUUCCUACUUUAAGCAAAACCAAUCCCACUUGUACAAACAGAUUGAGAAAGAGAGCUGAAUAAAUGGGUAUUUUUUCGAAACUCAUCUGGUGCUCUUUGUGCUUUGACUAGUACUACAUUGUUCCCUUAGUUUAGAACAAGCAGUGCAAGUUUGCGGUUAUCUCACUAUAGGUCCUAAGAGUGGGGGGGGGGGGUGUUAUUUAUUUUCCUAUCUUCUUUUGUCAACGUGUUUAUUCAAACUCAACAAACUUAUAUAUGCAAGUUCAGUCAAUAUUUCUUUACCCUCAGGAGUUGGUCGACUUGGACUAAAGUCUGAGCCAAAUGAGUAAACUCUGCCUUGUGUGCUAAUAUCUCUGCAUUAUGUUGCUAGGUGUGAAUUACAUGAGGAUAUCCAUAAGAGAGAAAAAUUCAAGAAUUUGAUUAUCACUCUAGGAUGAGGGGAAAAAAGAGAUCUUGAUGAUCACGCACACUGGCAUUAGGACUUGACUACAAUUGCUUUGGCAUCACUAGCAAAAUUCAGAUUUUCAGAAAUAAGUAUCCAUUAUUACUAUUAAUCCUGAAGAGAAACUCGUAAAGAUACCUAGUAAUUAAAUAUAUGAUGCCAAUGUCAUCUUAAUACAUUUUAUAUCAUCAAAAUCUAAUAGAUGUUAAAUAAUAGAAUCUACUGCUGGCAUAUACUGGUAAUCUGCACUAAUGUGUUUGAGUUCUUGGAUUCGUUCUAGGGGAAAUUCAUGGGGCUAAGAUAAUCCAAUCAUCUGAUGAUAUAUCAGUUUAUUUAACUAGGUGAUUGUUAAGUAUCGUGCUACAGAUAAACCUUAAUUGAAAUCGAAUUGAAAUAAUGUUUCUUUUUCAUCCUUUACCAGUGAUGAAUUUUAUGUCCUUUUAUACUUAUCCCCAAGAAUUCUAAAAAGAGGCACAAGUAGUGUUCUCACAAGAAUUCAUUUCAUCAUUAAUACUUGUCACUGCAGCUUGCAAAUCCCUGGGAAAGGGAAGGGGAACAGAGAGUAAUUUAUGAAUGAUAUAAUGUUGCAUCCCUACUACUUUCGUACUGUUAGUUUUCUCAGAAAAGAUGGAUGAUGUAAAAGGAAAACGGAAUACGGAGCCAGGCCUAUUAUAGAAGCUAUGAAUCAUGGUGAUCCAAGAAAAUGAAUGGUCCAACUGAAAGAUGGUCCUGUCCAUAGGAUCCUGACAGUUCAGCUUUGGAAGCAAAAUACAAGUUAGCAUAGGAGGAAUAAAUAGGAGUUAUCUUGAUAAGAAUAUGGAGUGUAAGCUUAGUCUUUUUGCCACCCCUUCCAUUAAAAAAGGCACUUAAGGUUCUGUAGAUCCACUUUGACUGAUAUUCCUAGCAUUGUACUCUUGAUGAUAUUUAGCACCAGAAUUAUAGAGGAAAGAAGUUGCUAAAGUUAAAGGUAUAUUCCAUAAAUUGAACAGCGCUCUGUUGUUAUUUGGACAAAAUUGCAACUGAUCUGGAGCUUUUUCUUUUUCUCCUUUUAACCAAAGUUAAUGGACUAUCUUGUUCUCAAAUUUCUGCAAAUGGAGUAUGAUUGUUACUAGCUUAACUAGGAGGAAGAAAUCCAUUCUGGCUUGAACAAUUUUAUGCUAUUUGAUUGCAUGUACCAGAGUUCAUGUUCCAAUUUUACUAAAUUUAACAUUAGAUUGUGCUUCCUUUUAGGGAUGAAUACUUCAGAGGAUGAGGGACAUAGUAAAUGAUCAAUCUUUUGAAAGAGGAUGAAGCCAAAAUAAACUAUCAAAGUGUCCAUGUCACAGUUCAAUAAUCUUGGGAAAUUGCAGAAACAAUUUAUGCUCGGUAAAGCUUUGAUCAUUACAAGCAGUUCUCUCAUCACUUGGACUAUUAUUUGAAAAAAGAUAGAACAAAAUAUGAAGUUGGUGAGUCUUCCUUUCUUUAUUCCUUCCACACUGUCAUCAUCAAUGAUCUUAAUCUCAGUUGAUCCUGCAAAUGGAUGAUAAUAAUAUAACCAGUAAGAACUCAAAAGUGCAUGUAGUUGAAGAAUUACACGAAAAGUGAAAAUCAUCUUGAAAACCAGAAAAUAAAUCUUACAUGUCACAGUUGACGCUCUUAGAGACAGUAAUGUCCAGUGUUACACCACACUUGUUAGGGAGAGCCUGGGCAGCAUCUUCCUUCAAGUUUGCAUACCGGUUU
rnacentral:lncRNA from 1 species